rnacentral:rRNA from 1 species
GACGAACGCUGGCGGCGUGCUUAACACAUGCAAGUCGAGCGGAGCGGCGAACGGGUGAGUAACGCGUGAGUAACUGCACCCCUCUCUGGGAUAACAGUUGGAAACGGCUGCUAAUACCGGAUAGUGGGGGAUGACUCGCGUCCUAUCAGCUUGUUGGUGGGGUAGUGGCCUACCAAGGCGACGACGGGUAGCCUGCCUGAGAGGGCGACCGGCCACCAUGUGCUGCGAUACGGCCCAAACUCCUACGGUCGGCAGCAGUGGGGACUAUUUCACAAUGGGGGAAACCCUGAUGCAGCAACGCCGCGUGCGGGAGGACUGCCUUCGGGUUGUAACCCGCUUUCAGCCAUGACGCGGUAGUGGCAGAAGAAGCACCGGCUAACUACGUGCCAGCAGCCGCGGUAAUAC